rnacentral:rRNA from 1 species
UCCCUUGGUACGCGAGUAACCGGGAAAAGCUCAAAUUUGUAAUCUGGCUGUCUUCGAUAGUCCGAGUUGUAAUCUAUAGACGUGUUUUCCGUGCUGGACCGUAUCUAAGUCCCUUGGAACAGGGUAUCAAAGAGGGUGACAAUCCCGUGCUUGAUACGACCACCAGUGCUCUGUGAUACACGCUCUACGAGUCGAGUUGUUUGGGAAUGCAGCUCAAAAUGGGUGGUAAAUUCCAUCUAAAGCUAAAUAUUGGCGAGAGACCGAUAGCGAACAAGUACCGUGAGGGAAAGAUGAAAAGCACUUUGGAAAGAGAGUUAAACAGUACGUGAAAUUGUUGAAAGGGAAACGAUUGAAGUCAGUCGUGUUCUUUGGAUUCAGCUAGUUCUUCUAGUCUACUUCCAUUGAACGGGUCAACAUCAGUUUUGUCCGGUGGAUAAAGAUAGUAGGAAUGUAGCUCCCCCGGGAGUGUUAUAGACUAUUAUUGCAUACACUGGGUGAGACUGAGGACUGCAGCUCGCCU